rnacentral:tRNA from 3 species
UGGGAUGUCGCCAAGUGGCUAAGGCACCAGGUUUUGAUCCUGGCAUUCGCAGGUUCGAGUCCUGCCAUCCCAGCCA